AGAGUUUGAUCAUGGCUCAGGACGAACGCUGGCGGCGUGCUUAACACAUGCAAGUCGAACGAGAGGACAAGAGAAGCUUGCUUCUUUUGGAAUCGAGUGGCAAACGGGUGAGUAACACGUAAACAACCUGCCUUCAGGAUGGGGACAACAGACGGAAACGACUGCUAAUACCGAAUACGCUUGGAAGACCGCAUGAUCUUCCAAGGAAAGGGUGGCCUCUACCUGUAAGCUAUCGCCUGAAGAGGGGUUUGCGUCUGAUUAGGCAGUUGGUGAGGUAACGGCCCACCAAACCUACGAUCAGUAGCCGGUCUGAGAGGAUGAACGGCCACACUGGAACUGAGACACGGUCCAGACUCCUACGGGAGGCAGCAGUGGGGAGUCUUCCGCAAUGGGCGAAAGCCUGACGGAGCAACGCCGCGUGAGUGAUGACGGCCUUCGGGUUGUAAAGCUCUGUGAUCGGGGACGAACGGUCCGUAAGUCAAUACCUUAUGGAAGUGACGGUACCCGAAUAGCAAGCCACGGCUAACUACGUGCCAGCAGCCGCGGUAAUACGUAGGUGGCAAGCGUUGUCCGGAAUUAUUGGGCGUAAAGCGCGCGCAGGCGGCUUUCUAAGUCCAUCUUAAAAGUGCGGGGCUUAACCCCGUGAUGGGAUGGAAACUGGAAAGCUGGAGUAUCGGAGAGGAAAGUGGAAUUCCUAGUGUAGCGGUGAAAUGCGUAGAGAUUAGGAAGAACACCGGUGGCGAAGGCGACUCUCUGGACGACAACUGACGCUGAGGCGCGAAAGUGUGGGGAGCAAACAGGAUUAGAUACCCUGGUAGUCCACACCGUAAACGAUGGAUACUAGGUGUAGGAGGUAUCGACCCCUUCUGUGCCGCAGUUAACACAAUAAGUAUCCCACCUGGGGAGUACGACCGCAAGGUUGAAACUCAAAGGAAUUGACGGGGGCCCGCACAAGCAGUGGAGUAUGUGGUUUAAUUCGAAGCAACGCGAAGAACCUUACCUGGGCUUGACAUCCCUGGAAUCGAGUAGAGAUACUUGAGUGCCUUCGGGAAUCAGGUGACAGGUGGUGCAUGGUUGUCGUCAGCUCGUGUCGUGAGAUGUUGGGUUAAGUCCCGCAACGAGCGCAACCCCUAUUGUCAGUUGCCAUCAUUAAGUUGGGCACUCUGGCGAGACUGCCGGUGACAAAUCGGAGGAAGGUGGGGACGACGUCAAAUCAUCAUGCCCCUUAUGCCCAGGGCUACACACGUACUACAAUGGCCGAUAACAAAGUGCAGCGAAACCGUGAGGUGGAGCGAAUCACAAAACUCGGUCUCAGUUCAGAUUGCAGGCUGCAACUCGCCUGCAUGAAGUUGGAAUUGCUAGUAAUCGCGGAUCAGAAUGCCGCGGUGAAUACGUUCCCGGGCCUUGUACACACCGCCCGUCACACCAUGAGAGUCGAUAACACCCGAAGCCUGUGAGCUAACCUAUUAGGAGGCAGCAGUCGAAGGUGGGGUUGAUGAUUGGGGUGAAGUCGUAACAAGGUA
rnacentral:rRNA from 1 species